CUCGCCCACAGAGCUGGGGGUGGGAGCUGCAGCUGCCCAACAUAGGCAGGAGGCAGCCACAACCGAGUCGGGGGGGCUGGAGUGGGUGAAGACCCGGCACCUCCCCAUCUGCAGCAACCACAGUUUGGGUGUCCGGUCAGUAGAUCUGACUGGACACUGUCUGGUCCCCUUUUUGACUGGACUUUCCAGUUGAAAACCAGGCACUGUAGGCUGGUAGCAAAGCAUGCUGGGAAGAGAGGCAGUAUAAAGGUUGCUUGUGGCAGUUCCCCCUAGUGAGGGGAAAAAAAGAGGAGAGUUGGAUCUCUCCAUGGGAGGAAGCUUGGAUGUGGGGAGACCUUGAGAAGGAGGGAGCAGAACCCCUCAUAGGAGACCCUUGGGCGGAGGGCUAAUGCGAUUCGGCCAGCAAGGGGAAAUGGACAGCAGCUGUGUCUGAAGGCAAGAGUACCUCUUGGACUCUGCAAAACAUCCGGAGCAGCUGGUCGUACUCUGGCUAGAAUGACCCUCACCCCUGCACAGAGAGUCAGAAGCACCGAACUCUUAGAAUGAAGCAGAUGUGGGACUUCAGUGGAGCACAGGCCUCUGCAUGGAGGCAAACUCUGUGCAUUGAGCGGCUUGCAGGUCUGACAGGAACCCCUGCGACAGGAGAGGACCACGUAAGCUUCGUCAUGGUUACAGACCCUGGCUUACCAAGACAGAACUCCACCUGCGUUGCUGUGGUAGCCCCUCUCGUGGCACUGGGAAUGGGAAUAACUAACGCUACCAUGGCAACAGACCUACAACGCAUGAGGUCCAUUCUCCCAGUGAUUUGUGUGUUGUCUCAGCAUUGGCGCAUCCAUCUCAACUACAAUCAGAACUACCCCACAACCACCUGCCCCAAAUGCAAACGAAACCCAACCUGUUGAGGCGUUUGGCUCAGUGAGCAUGAACCUGUUCUGUAGCUGUGGAGGAGACAGGCUGUUACCCAUAAACAACGGAGGUGGCAAAGGGGGAGGGAAGGGCAGUAGAAAUGUGCAUUUUGCCCCACACUUGCUUAGCAUUUAUUGUAAGUUUCUCUCUGUCUCGGGUCUAUCUCAUCCUUUCCCAUGACAGCUGAGUCCCCAGGCGAAGUCAGGCCCUAUGGAGCAGGAGCCUGUUUACAGUCUCUCUCUGUCUCAGAUAUUCAUGUGGACCUAACAAAUCAAAAGACAUUUAUCUGUUCAGAGUUGGUUGAUCAAAGUAUUUUCUUUCUUCCUGUGAAGACUCUACAUUGUCUCCCCCACACGGUGUGUCAGAAGAGGUCUUCCUAAGUGCUAUUCUACUGCCUCCUGUAGCUUUCCAUCACCAUCUGGCACAGGGAGAGCACAGCUCCUCAUUGGUCUCUGGAGUUUUCUGAAGCUUCAUCUCUCAGGGGACGGGUUUGUGUCAUGAGGGGAAUUGGUUUAGCAGAGCUGGGUGCACUCAGGGAAAAACAGUGUCAAGAGUUCAUGCUCAUUAUUAUACUCGCUAUUGGUGGAGUGGGCUGAAUUUAAUAUUUAAUGGCAUGUGCUUAUUAAGCAAUAACUCCACUUGUCUAUUAAAUGGCAACAGGUAGGCUCCUGUUUCAUCGAACAGCAUCACAUUUGCAUAUUGUUCUCAUUUUCCAAUAAUUGUUUUAAACUCUUGCAGUGUUGCUGUGCAUUGCUAAACAGCUGCUACACUUCACUAGCUGCUGAAACCUUUCAUGUACAUAUAAUAUUUAUGAAGAACUUUGGAAUCUGUCAGACAGAGAUGCCAUAUCACUUUAUAAUUUGAGAGGGUCUUUUAUCCUAUCCUCUUAAAGAGCGUUUAAAUAUUAACUACU